rnacentral:rRNA from 1 species
GACGAACCGUGCAAACGUUGUUCGGAUUCACUGGGCUUAAAGGGCGCGUAGGCGGGUGGUCAAGUCAGGGGUGAAAUCUUUCAGCUCAACUGGAAAACAGCUUCUGAUACUGGCCAUCUUGAGGGAGGUAGGGGCAUGUGGAACUUCCGGUGGAGCGGUGAAAUGCGUAGAUAUCGGAAGGAACGCCGGUGGCGAAAGCGACGUGCUGGACCUUUUCUGACGCUCAUGUGCGAAAGCGUGGGGAGCAAACAGG